UUUAUGUUUUGGUGCUUGAUUUGAAGUUUCUCUUUAAUUUCCCUUUUUAAUCAACUUUAAAUUUUUUUUUAUUGAUUUUUGGCAACUUGAUGUUUGAGCUUGAGUUGUUGAAUUGGUUGAUAAAUGCUUCUACAUUUCAAGUCAUCCAUAGAUGUUAUCUUAGGUUGAUUCAAUCUUCUCUAAUUCAAUAUGUUAAUAGCUGAUCAUUUGACCAUAUUUUUGACACUUUGAGUUAGUGAUAGAUGAU
rnacentral:lncRNA from 1 species